UAGACUGGACCAGAAAAGAAAAUCUCUCCACCACAUUGAAAGAACCUAGUGGGGAAACCCCCACUCAAUUCCCGAUUUGGUGUGCACCCAAGAAUCACGAACAGACCA
rnacentral:pre_miRNA from 7 species